rnacentral:rRNA from 1 species
UAAUCUACCCUAGGGUGGGGAAUAACUCCUCGAAAGGGGGAGCUAAUGCCGACAUGUGCGCCAUUCCCGCAAGGGAGUGAUGGAAAGCCGUACCGUGGGUGCGGCGCCCAAGGAUGAGCUCACGUCCUAUCAGCUUGUUGGCGGGGUAACGGCCCACCAAGGCUGCGACGGGUAGCUGGUCUGAGAGGACGACCAGCCACACUGGCACUGCGACACGGGCCAG